rnacentral:rRNA from 1 species
AUACGGAGGGUGCAAGCGUUAAUCGGAAUUACUGGGCGUAAAGCGUACGUAGGCGGUUAUUUAAGUCAGAUGUGAAAGCCCCGGGCUUAACUUGGGAACUGCAUUUGAAACUGGGUAACUAGAGUUUAGUAGAGGGGAGUGGAAUUUCAGGUGUAGCGGUGAAAUGCGUAGAGAUCUGAAGGAACACCAGUGGCGAAGGCGACUCCCUGGACUAGAACUGACGCUGAGGUACGAAAGCGUGGGUAGCAAUCAGGAUUAGAAACCCUAGUAGUCC